rnacentral:rRNA from 1 species
AUGCCGAGGGGCGGCGGCAAUGGCGACGCCGUUAAGGACGGCGGCGAGAAGAUCCUGGGCUACUUCGUCAAGUACGCGGGAGAGACCUUGAAGGCCGAGCUCAUCAACAAGUCGGGGGAGAAGCUCGAGGGUGACGCCGUUAAGGACGCCGACGACGAGAUCCUGGGCUACGUCGUCAACUACGCCGGAGAGUCUCUCAAGGCCGAUCUCGUCGACAAGGCGGGGGAGAAGCUCGACGGAGACGCCGUUAAGGACGCCGGCGACGAGAUCCAGGGUUACGUGGUGAAGUUCGCCGGAGAGGCACUCAAGGCCGAGCUCGUCAACAGGUCGGAGGAGAAGCUCCUGGCCGACAACGGAGAGACCCGCAAGGCCAACGUCAGCGAGAAAUCGACCGAUCCCAUCAAGGGGAAGGCCGACUCCAGCGGCACCAUCAAGGCCGACGCCGGCGGAAUUCUCAAGGCCGAGCCCGCCAAGAUCUUGCCCAAGGCCAACUCCAUCGAAGGUUGCGCUGAUGCGGAGACCGUCAAGAACAUCGACGGCGAGGAGGGGGAUCUGCCCAAGGAGGAGGGUGGGGAUGAGUCUCAGAAGGAGGAGGGUGGGGAUGAGUCUCAGAAGGAGGAGGGUGAUGAGCCUGAGGAGAAGGAGGAGGGUGAUGAGCCUGAGGAGGAGGAGGGUGAUGAGUCUGAGGAGUAG